UCAAAAAAUAUUAUAAAUAACAAUUUGGUAAGAUACAAUCUAUAUGCAUUAAAAACCAAAGAGAGAAAAAAAAAAUUAUUAAUAACAAACAAAAAUGAAUAAAGCGUAUAUCUCAACACCACCUGCCAGCUAACACCAAUAUAAAAUAUAGAAGAUGUAAAUUAAAUUCAGUGAACAUCAAGAAACAUUUAGAAAGCAUUACAAAAUAUAAACAAAAUCCAAAACACAAAACAAUAGAACAACUACACUACGUCUGAUUUCCUGCCUCAUCACUCUUUCCACUCACAUGAGAUGCCACUGAAGCUUUUGGAAACUUCAACAGCAAAGGGCUCAGCUCUUCCAUAGCUGUUACCUUAUGACGUGUUCCAUUAGUUGUCUUGAUAACUAUGAUUCCAUCCUGGGUCCAGCAGGAUCGCAUUCCGAAGUGAGCUCUUGCCUUGAUAAAUAUGGACUGCCUGGGCUUUGUCAAAAACUCCUUCAAUGAAAUUGAACAACCCUUUAGGUUAGACUUUGCUCUCCAAACAUUGGAUUUAAUGUUUUCAUUAGUGAACCUCACAAGAAUGGGCCUGUUAUGCUCCUGACUUCGCGCACCAAGUCUGUGGCAUUCUUUUAUGGAAGAAGAAGACACAUUUUUCAAGGCCAACUUAUUAUUUAGCACAUUUAAGAUGACUGAAGUGCAAUCCUCUCCGUCAACCUCGGUACAUCCCUGGAAAAGCAAAGUCUUGCGUCGCUGCCGAGUCUCCAGACUAUCAAUCUGCUUCAUGCACUCUCCGAUUUGUGUCCGGAGCAGCCCAAGUAUGCUAAAGACCAACUCUCUGAACGUACGGAACUCUUCAGCAACUUAUAUAGAUGACUAUUGUUACGUAGCUCCUUCAACGUACGGUACAUAACCCUUUGGUUUUACAGUCCUGAAAGAGUGUGAAAGGUAUUCACGUUAGCAUAGACGGGUAACAUCAGGUAAGCCAUGAGCUAUACAAUUUCUACCGAAGAAAACCUCUAAAGUUUAGCGGAAAAAAAACUAUUUCAAUUAAAAAAAACUACCUACGCGCGAGCCUACGUCCCCUGGCGAUAUUCAACAUUUAGUAAUAAGUCUAGUCGCUGUGAAAUAUUUCGUAUUAAAAUAAACAGAUCACGGAUUCUAAAA